UGCGUAGACGGCGCAUUAAGUCUGUUGUUAAAUCCUCCGGCCUAACCGGAGAUCAGCGAUAGAAACUGAUGUGCUAGAGGAUGGAAGAGAGAAGUGGAAUUCUCGGAGUAGCGGUAAAAUGCGUAGAUCUCGAGAGGAACACCAAUGGCGAAGGCAGCUUCUUGGUCCAUUCCUGACGUUGAGGCACGAAAGCGUGGGGAGCAAACA
rnacentral:rRNA from 1 species